GGAGUUUAGCUCAGUGGUAGAGCACUUGCCUAGCAAGCACAAGGCCCUGGGUUCGGUCCCCAGCUCCG
rnacentral:tRNA from 1 species